GACGAACGCUGGCGGCGCGCCUAACACAUGCAAGUCGAACGAGAAUCAGCUGAUGAAGUUUUCGAAUGGAUUCGGUUGAGGAAAGUGGCGAACGGGCGAGUAACGCGUGAGCAACCUACCUUGUACUGGGGGAUAACGUCGGGAAACCGGCGCUAAUACCGCAUAACAUUACGAUAGCGCAUGUUAUUGUAAUCAAAGCUUUAGUGGUACGAGACGGGCUCGCGUCCAAUUAGCUAGUUGGUGAGGUAAAGGCUCACCAAGGCGACGAUUGGUAGCCGAACUGAGAGGUUGAUCGGCCGCAUUGGGACUGAGACACGGCCCAGACUCCUACGGGAGGCAGCAGUGGGGAAUAUUGCGCAAUGGGGGAAACCCUGACGCAGCGACGCCGCGUGAAGGAAGAAGGCCUUCGGGUUGUAAACUUCUUUGAUCGGGGACGAAGAUGACGGUACCCGAGGAACAAGCCACGGCUAACUACGUGCCAGCAGCCGCGGUAAUACGUAGGUGGCAAGCGUUGUCCCGGAAUUACUGGGCGUAAAGGGCGUGUAGGCGGGGGGACAAGUCAGAUGUGAAAUACCGCGGCUUAACUGCGGGGGUGCAUCUGAAACUG
rnacentral:rRNA from 1 species